UACGUAGGGUGCAAGCGUUGUCCGGAAUUAUUGGCGUAAAGAGCUCGUAGGCGGCCUGUCGCGUCGGCUGUGAAAACCCGGGGCUCAACCCCGGGCCUGCAGUCGAUACGGGCAGGCUAGAGUCCGGUAGGGGAGACUGGAAUUCCUGGUGUAGCGGUGAAAUGCGCAGAUAUCAAGAGGAACACCUGAGGUGAAGACGGGUUGCUGGGCUGACACUGACGCUGAGGCGCGAAAGCCAGGGGAGCAAACGGG
rnacentral:rRNA from 1 species